GUCCACGCUGUAAACGAUGAGCGCUAGAUGUCGCGGGUAUUGACCCCUGCGGCGUCGCAGGUAACCCAUUAAGCGCUCCGCCUGGGGAGUACGGUCGCAAGACUAAAACUCAAAGGAAUUGACGGGGGCCCCGCACAAGCGGUGGAGUAUGUGGUUUAAUUCGACGCAACGCGAAGAACCUUACCCGGCCUUGACAUCCUGAGAACCCCCUAGAGAUAGGGGGUGCCCGCAAGGGAGCUCAGAGACAGGUGCUGCAUGGCUGUCGU
rnacentral:rRNA from 1 species